rnacentral:rRNA from 1 species
GAGCGAUCAAGUGCCUUAAGAGCAUUCGGUGGAUGCCUUGGCGCUGAGAGGCGAUGAAGGACGUGGUACGCUGCGAUAAGCCUUGGGGAGCUGCGAACGAGCUUUGAUCCAGGGAUUUCCGAAUGGGGAAACCCACCUUCGACCUUCCGUAUUGCGGGACCAGGCGUGAGCCUGGUUCCUCAAUACGGUUGGUCACAUGAGGGUAUCAAAUCCUGAAUCCAUAGGGGUUUGAAGCGAACCCGGGGAACUGAAACAUCUCAGUACCCGGAGGAAAGGACAUCAACGAGACUCCGUCAGUAGUGGCGAGCGAACGCGGAUCAGGCCAGUGCCUGUGUUGAGUUUACCGGAACGGUCUGGAAAGGCCGGCGCGAUGGGUGAUAGCCCCGUACGGGACGGACGAUACGCAGGACUCGAGUAGGGCGGGACACGUGAAAUCCUGUCUGAAACUGGGGGGACCCACCCCCAAGACUAAGUACUACUCAGCGA